GGUGCAUGGUUGUCGUCAGCUCGUGUCGUGAGAUGUUGGUUAAGUCCCGCAACGAGCGCAACCCUCGACCUUAGUUGCCAGCAUUCAGUUGGGCACUCUAAGGUGACUGCCGGCUAAAAGUCGGAGGAAGGUGGGGAUGACGUCAAAUCAUCAUGCCCCUUAUGACCUGGGCUACACAUGUGCUACAAUGGGCGGUACAAAGGGUCGCGAACCCGCGAGGGGGAGCCAAUCCCAAAAAGCCGCUCUCAGUUCGGAUUGCAGGCUGCAACUCGCCUGCAUGAAGCCGGAAUCGCUAGUAAUCGCGGAUCAGCACGCCGCGGUGAAUACGUUCCCGGGCCUU
rnacentral:rRNA from 1 species